UGGAUAUUAUAAUCUAUGGUUUCCACUCUCUUGGACUGCCUUUGUCUUGGGACUAGAACCCAGGACUCAGCGGUUUGUGAUUUGCUUUCAUACGGGACCUUUCGCCUCGAUCUUUCUCUUGAGUCAUCCAUCUUGGUAGGAAGAAUAUUCUCCUUCCAAAAUGAGGGACAAGUGGAAGAAAAAGCGCAUGAGGAGAUUGAAGCGCAAGCGCAGAAAGAUGAGAGCCAGAUCCAAGUAAACUCCCACCAACACUCAGCAAAGGACUGCAGCUGCUACUCUUGAGGGACAAAGACUACCACAAUCAAGAUCUUGCCCUUAUCUGCUUUAAGACUUGAAUGACAUUUAAACAUUGGAUUAUUUACUGGCUAUAUUGGAUUGGUGGAUAAGAAAAUGUUGAUCUGCAUUUAAACUAGUUGAGAAGACAACACCAAGUUUCAGUGUCAGUUCACCGUUUUACUACAAGAUUUUGUAAAAUGUUUUGCUACGAGUGAUUAAAUUUCUUCUUUGAGA